UACGUAGGUGGCGAGCGUUGUCCGGAAUUACUGGGCGUAAAGAGCUCGUAGGUGGUUUGUCGCGUUGUCCGUGAAAACUCACAACUCAAUUGUGGGCGUGCGGGCGAUACGGGCAGACUGGAGUACUGCAGGGGAGACUGGAAUUCCUGGUGUAGCGGUGGAAUGCGCAGGUAUCAGGAGGAACACCGGUGGCGAAGGCGGGUCUCUGGGCAGUAACUGACGCUGAGGAGCGAAAGCGUGGGGAGCGAACAGG
rnacentral:rRNA from 1 species